rnacentral:rRNA from 1 species
AACGAACGCUGGCGGCAGGCUUAACACAUGCAAGUCGAACGCCCCGCAAGGGGAGUGGCAGACGGGUGAGUAACGCGUGGGAACAUACCCUUUCCUGCGGAAUAGCUCCGGGAAACUGGAAUUAAUACCGCAUACGCCCUACGGGGGAAAGAUUUAUCGGGGAAGGAUUGGCCCGCGUUGGAUUAGCUAGUUGGUGGGGUAAAGGCCUACCAAGGCGACGAUCCAUAGCUGGUCUGAGAGGAUGAUCAGCCACAUUGGGACUGAGACACGGCCCAAACUCCUACGGGAGGCAGCAGUGGGGAAUAUUGGACAAGGGGCGCAAGCCUGAUCCAGCCAUGCCGCGUGAGUGAUGAAGGCCUUAGGGUUGUAAAGCUCUUUCACCGAUGAAGAUAAUGACGGUAGUCGGAGAAGAAGCCCCGGCUAACUUCGUG